rnacentral:rRNA from 1 species
ACUUAAAUUGAAGAGUUUGAUCAUGGCUCAGAUUGAACGCUGGCGGCAGGCCUAACACAUGCAAGUCGAGCGGUAGCACAGAGAGCUUGCUCUCGGGUGACGAGCGGCGGACGGGUGAGUAAUGUCUGGGAAACUGCCUGAUGGAGGGGGAUAACUACUGGAAACGGUAGCUAAUACCGCAUAACGUCGCAAGACCAAAGUGGGGGACCUUCGGGCCUCAUGCCAUCAGAUGUGCCCAGAUGGGAUUAGCUAGUAGGUGGGGUAACGGCUCACCUAGGCGACGAUCCCUAGCUGGUCUGAGAGGAUGAC